rnacentral:lncRNA from 1 species
CAAAAACUCCAAAUAUCAAAUUACACAACUCCAAUAAUAAAAUUCAACAACUUCUACUGAGGUAUUGUCUUCCCCAAAUCAACAAUAAUCCAAUAAAUGAAAUAAACUCGAGUAAUCAACUGACAACGAAUCAAAGAACUAAACCUACUGUGAAAGAUAACUCCUGCGAAUCUCAAACUCCCUCUCGAACAACUGGAUCUACACGAGCCUCCUGAUGUUGCUCCCGAUCGUACUCAACUAGCUGCUCUCCUCCGCCUACGCUCCAUAAGGAUACGUACCCACGUGCAAAACAAGCAACAUGGGUCAGCAAAUUAUGCUGGUAUGAGUGGACAAGGGUAGGGAACUCCAUUCCCAAAAACAAUAAAAUAACAGACUCCGCGGUCUUUAUAUAUUUAUCUCGUUUACUAAAUAAAUAUUAUAUAUUAUAAUAAUACAUUACCUGAGCUGCACCUCCUAUUAGGAUAAGUCGAGCCCUGCAAGAAAUGUUAAUUGACCUAUCCUCCUGCAAAACUGUGUUAGUACAAUAAUAUAUAAUUCAUGGCAUCUCAAGUCUCGACACUAUAUCUCAAUCACUACAAAUCAAUCAUUACACACAAACAACACUUCACAACCUAUACCCAAUCACUAGUACACCUCCCACAGGAUGUACUCCACACAUUUGCCAUACCCACACUGCACCAGUGUGCCUUGACCAUGGUUAAGACCCUCUACGCGGAAACCAAAACCCAAGUGCGUGCUCACCUGCAAGCUUUGGCUAGCCUCGACGUAUGCCUAACUCAUGGCCUCUACUAGCUCCCUUGAGCUUUCUAAUGUGGCGCCCAGACCAACCCCGAAGGCUAUGAAGGUCUGUAGGGUCAGUUCCGCAGGCUAAGCCGUCUAGGAAAUACCCCAAAAAUAUAUUCCAAGUGUCAACCCGCAGGCUAAGCCGUCUAGGGUGAUAUCUAAUCUUUUCUUAAUCCUAAUUCCACAGGUGUGGCAAAUGUACUAAUGCUUGGGCGACUACCAAAACAUUUAAACUAUCAUCAAUCAAGUAACACUCGACAAUAAAAUUUCACAUCAACUUCACAUCCAAUCCAUUUGUAUUCCUUUCGCAUUUUCCAAAUUAAUCCAAUACCGUCCAUGGUAUAUAAAGCCAUUCUAAGGCAUUCGUCAAUAAAUUUCCCGAAUUCAAUAUUAAUGCGUCUUUUUUUUUUUUUACAUAUAUUCCAAAAUAAAAAUAAAAAUAUACUUUCCACCGAAGUGAACACAUUUCGGUGUGGACGACAAUUCUAUAUGCAUAUAUAUACUGUACUUGUGUGUCCAUAACCAUUCAGCAAAUAGUCUACUGUACUGCUGUCCGAUUCCGCAACCAUUACAUAGUAAUAAAAAAUUCAAAACAAUAUCAACAUAUAUCCCGACUCUGAUCAAUUCCUAUAAGUCCAAAAUAUCAGAAUUCUUAGCUACCUAUAUAGAUAUAUUGUUUUUAAUUCCACAUGCAUCUUAAUACUUCCAAAAAUCUAUAUCACCAGAUUAAAUAGAGAGUCAUACACUGCUGUGUUAAACAUAACCUUAUAAGCUAAUUAUAUGCAUACCAACAUCUGUGCUCACCACGUCAUUCAUAUAAUCAAACAGAGAAAUUAAAACCUCUGAAUAUACAUACUUCAAUUAAACCAUAUCUACUCACCUGUUACCCCACGUCUAAAAUCAAAACCAACAGCAAACAUAUCCCAUAUACCCCACCACUAAAGUCAACUCAUAUAAUUUAAUUAAAUUUAAACUAAUUUAACAAAAUAACAUUCCACUCACCUGCUACUGUUCUUCUUCUCUUCUAAAUUACUCCAACCUCUGCAACUUCUAGGCAGUGUUACUAACACCGAGCACCGCUCCUAAAUUCUGCGACUAACUCCACAACAAUCUCUUCUCUUUCAACUCUGAUCACAGCCGCCUCCACUCUCUCUUUUCCCUCUUCUUCUUCUUCCAAAAAUUCUGAUCGCCGCCACUCUUUGUUUUUUUUAUCGCAAAACAACUUUAAGAUCUUUGUUGCCC